rnacentral:rRNA from 1 species
UAGAGUUUGAAUCCUGGCUCAGAACGAACGCUGGCGGCAGGCCUAACACAUGCAAGUCGAGCGCGCCUUUCGGGGUGAGCGGCGGACGGGUUAGUAACGCGUGGGAAUAUGCCCAAAGGUACGGAAUAGCCUCUGGAAACGGAGAGUAAUACCGUAUGUGCCCUUCGGGGGAAAGAUUUAUCGCCUUUGGAUUAGCCCGCGUUAGAUUAGGUAGUUGGUGGGGUAAUGGCCUACCAAGCCUACGAUCUAUAGCUGGUUUUAGAGGAUGAUCAGCAACACUGGGACUGAGACACGGCCCAGACUCCUACGGGAGGCAGCAGUGGGGAAUCUUGGACAAUGGGGGCAACCCUGAUCCAGCCAUGCCGCGUGAGUGAUGAAGGCCUUAGGGUCGUAAAGCUCUUUCGCCU